CAAGACCUCUGGGUUCUGAGCCCUGAUGUGGCUGCCGAGCUGGGAUCUCCGGGGUUUUGGU
rnacentral:pre_miRNA from 1 species